rnacentral:lncRNA from 1 species
AGUCCAGGGAUCACAGUGCACAAAACCCGAGCAUACUUCUCUCUGAGCUCUCCGUGAUGUUGAAAAAGAAGCUUCUUCAAAGAUGACCAAAUGCUUACCCUGUCUUGUGCCCAGCUCAGUGUACAGAGAAAUAACUACACUGAGAGAGAAACAAAACCAGGAAGCAGUCCCUGCCCUGAGAAGAAGCAGCCAUUAGUACACAGAGGGUAUGCUCACAUAAGAAGUAAAGCUUUCCUUUGUGGGACAUAUUUUUAUUGAAAAAUAUUUCUUCUGCUAACAGGCAUGAGAAGCAUUGGGUUGAUCAGAUGUGCCACCUUACUGACUGAUGCCUGAUGGACAUGGUAAAGGUGACCCAGAA